AGAGUUUGAUCCUGGCUCAGAUUGAACGCUGGCGGCAUGCUUUACACAUGCAAGUCGGACGGCAGCACAGAGAAGCUUGCUUCUUGGGUGGCGAGUGGCGAACGGGUGAGUAACAUAUCGGAACGUACCGAGCAGUGGGGGAUAACUAAUCGAAAGAUUAGCUAAUACCGCAUAUAUUCUGAGGAAGAAAGCAGGGGACCAUUUGGCCUUGCGCUGUUUGAGCGGCCGAUAUCUGAUUAGCUAGUUGGUGGGGUAAAGGCCUACCAAGGCGACGAUCAGUAGCGGGUCUGAGAGGAUGAUCCGCCACACUGGGACUGAGACACGGCCCAGACUCCUACGGGAGGCAGCAGUGGGGAAUUUUGGACAAUGGGCGCAAGCCUGAUCCAGCCAUGCCGCGUGUCUGAAGAAGGCCUUCGGGUUGUAAAGGACUUUUGUCAGGGAAGAAAAGGGCGGGGUUAAUACCCCUGUCUGAUGACGGUACCUGAAGAAUAAGCACCGGCUAACUACGUGCCAGCAGCCGCGGUAAUACGUAGGGUGCGAGCGUUAAUCGGAAUUACUGGGCGUAAAGCGGGCGCAGACGGUUACUUAAGCAGGAUGUGAAAUCCCCGGGCUCAACCUGGGAACUGCGUUCUGAACUGGGUGACUAGAGUGUGUCAGAGGGAGGUAGAAUUCCACGUGUAGCAGUGAAAUGCGUAGAGAUGUGGAGGAAUACCGAUGGCGAAGGCAGCCUCCUGGGAUAACACUGACGUUCAUGCCCGAAAGCGUGGGUAGCAAACAGGAUUAGAUACCCUGGUAGUCCACGCCCUAAACGAUGUCGAUUAGCUGUUGGGCAGCAUGACUGCUUAGUAGCGAAGCUAACGCGUGAAAUCGACCGCCUGGGGAGUACGGUCGCAAGAUAAACUUCAAAGGAAUUGACGC
rnacentral:rRNA from 1 species